rnacentral:rRNA from 1 species
GUGUCAGCAGCCGCGGUAAGACGAACCGUGCGAACGUUAUUCGGAAUCACUGGGCUUAAAGCGCGUGUAGGCGGAUGGGAACGUCGGAAACUGAAAGCCCCCGGCUCAACCGGGGAAGGGGUGCCGAAACGACCUGUCUGGAGGGACGUAGGGGGACCUGGAACUUCCGGUGGAGCGGUGAAAUGCGUUGAGAUCGGAAGGAACGCCCGUGGCGAAAGCGAGGUCCUGGACGUUUACUGACGCUGAGACGCGAAAGCUAGGGGAGCAAACGGGAUUAGAUACCCCGGUAGUCC